rnacentral:lncRNA from 1 species
CGGGUGUGACAUUAACUAUAUAUUUCGUAUAAUCAGUUGUGAUUAGUUGUAAGUUGAAAUUAUUAACUAUCCACCAUCGAUGUGGUUCACAAGUCCCUACAACAGAUGAAGGGAUGUGACGCUGUGUCAUCCAUAUAAUUAAUUACUCAUUUUAUAAUUGGUGCUAUUGUUGGUAUUUCUUAACGUCACAAAUAAAAUCCGCAAGCGCACGGAAGAUACCGAUGUAGCAGUUCACCCUCAAGUAUUCCAAGGUAUCGAUUUCCUCAGGGAACGUGUGUGUUCAGCUCCUCUUCAGGUUCACCCAAGGACAUGAAGCAAAUGUAGGCAAAGGGUAAAGAGGAUUUCCUAGUGAGAAACCAUGUCUACGGAAAGCUCAAUUUAAUCCUAACGUGAUACUUUAGGCACUGGCCAGCCCGCUGCUCAAAGAUGUUGCUCUACUGCAUACCCAGACAGGGAGGACUUUAGUGUAUUUAAGGGCUGUCACCACCUCUACGCCUACCUCAAACCUACGGUGGGAUACGAAGCAAUCACCGGAAAUUAAUUACCCAGACUCUACGUCUAUGCAAUUAAUAACUACUUUAGCGCUAGCUAAACAGUAAAGUAAUCACUAUAAAUUAAUGGGCUAUAGCGAACAAUGAUCCCGCAUGUGGGCACUCGAACAUUAUAUCGUCCAGUGCAAUUCGUGACCACCACAUAAUUUUGGAUGAGUGGGAUCCAUACACGUAUAAAUAGCCACUCAUACCUCAAUGUGCUCAUGAUCACAAUUUAACACCAUUCGAUAUAAAAUCCGCAAUGCCGAAUCAUGAGCAAAGGAGAUAUUGUUCGGACUCAGCAUGCCAGUCAACUGCAGCCUGAGACAUGCCCGUCAAACCACACGAAGGCAGCGACCAAAAGUGUUACACAUCUCAGGAGACUUGACUCAAAAUGCUAAAGCUCUACAACAUCUCAAUUGCUCAAAAUUCAUACUCAUGCUCAGCUAGUCCCCAGAAAACUGACUAGCCUCGCACUUUCAUCGCAAGCAAUUGAUAAACAUCACAAAUGCAUAAAUCUAGAUACAAGGACAGCAAGGUACAUAUUUCAUAACGGGGUUCACAAGCCCAUCAUACAACACAAAAUAUAGCAGCGGAAGUUUCAUAAUUUCUCAUAAGCAAAAGAAAAACCUGUGGUGUGCCAACAACCCCACAAGGGCAACCAAUCGGGGCAAGAGCGAACUUCAACUACUCGCUACCCUCGCCACCCUUGGUGGGAUAGUAGUAGGGCACAACAUCAACGCCGGCAUCCUCACCUGAAAAUAGCAACAUGAGUACGAAAGGUACUCCGCAAGACUUACACCAUAUAUGAUAGUACAAAGGAGUAUGCAAAUUUCUACAUCAAAGGAAAUGGCUAAGUGGUUCAGAUUUUGCAUAGAGCUAAUUUUGUUGAGCAAGUAGUAAGUUGCAAAUAUAACAUUUGUACAAAAUAGCAUAAUCCGAAAUUUAGGACAGCAAGCAAGUAAAUCUGAAAUUGAAUCACAAAUGAGCACAACCGGUGCUCUCAUCACCAUCCAUGGGCUACCGUUGCCCAACCAUGGAUUCCAAACAUAACUAUCACCAUAUCCAUGACUAAACCAGCCAUUUAACCCAAGUUUGAUGCUAACAUAGACUGACUAACACAUCAAGCGAUCGUCCUAUAACCGUGGACACGGCUAUUCGAAUAGUUUUACUCUGAUCAGAGGUGUACAACUUUACCCACACGAAAUGAACAAGGAUCAAAUGCUUCACACGCACACAGGUGUGACCUACAAGUGAUACAAGCUCAUAACAUGUCCUUUCCUAGUGACACCCCAACCACCUAAACCACGCCUAGGCCCCCGUCGACUUAGCCACGUGCGUGUGAUGUGGCCAGCUCACCAUCGCGGGAGAAACCCCCUGCCAAAAUCAGGCACACCCGGGGCAAUCCAAAGGGAAAACCACCCUCACGAAUGACCAGCAAGACGUAGAUGAGCACAGUGCAACAUAGUACUAAGACAAGCCGGUCCCAAAUAAGGUGUGUGGAAGUACGUAUGGUGCUUGAAUAGACGUCAACAUGUUCGGUCCUUAACAACCCAGACAAGGCUACUUGCAUCAGGGAAAAUGACCAUCCCGUCAUCGCCCUAUCACACGUCCAAGCUAAAGCAUGUUUCCAUAUUAAUCAUUGAGUGAGGUAAUCAGAUUUUAAUGCCCAUAAAUCGCGGGUGGUGAAUAAGUUCAUCCGAUGGCUCCAUCCAUCGAUUUCUAACAACAGUAGACCUAAGCAUGGCUAAGCAUUCGAUGAUAGAAUAAACCAUCCUAACCAUUUACAAUUGAAGGUGACAAGGUUACAUGGCAACAAUAUAUUAAAGGAAGGGAAAUGCAUGAACUUGGAUAUAAACAACUCUACCCGUUACCGACAUUUUAAGGCAAUUCAACUUAUGCAUAUAUAUAGUUUUUGCAAGCAAAUAAGUUUUGUGAAAUCAUAGGUUCAAUAUCCAUAGACGCUUGCCUUGCUGCUGUGCGGAAACACACUCAACCUCUGAGUCUUGCUCCACGUAUUCCAAAUUCUCCGAAUCUACCAAUAAGAGGCAAAUAUGCAAAUAAGAUUCAAAUAAAUAUGCAUAUGCAACAUGCUCUAUAAAUCAUGGCCUAAUUACAGUAGGUAGAGAGUAUGAUAAACUAAUUUUAGGAACAAGAAUCAACUCAUUUACAUUUAUGGUUUGAGAGGUAUAAAAAUAACAAGCCAUAUACACUGAAAAUGGCAUUGUUUCAGUUACAUAUGAACUAACCUAAGUCAUAUGAAAAACUGACAUUUUCUUAACAGAAGUUGAAAAGUUUUCCUUUACAAACAUAAGGUCUACAAGGUUAUGAAUACACAGGGAUUUGAUUCAUUCAAAGAUGAGUUAAAAUGAAAUACUUAUGGAUUUUUGAAGUUUUCCCAUUUCUCAACAAGGUCCAGCUUCUUCUCCAAUUGAGCAGGAAGCAGAGACAGCCAUGGCUGAGCUCGAUCUCAAGCUCGCUGGCAGCAAACGAUGGCUCUAAUUGGGGCAAGGUCAAAAGAGAACAUGGAGAACAAGUCUUUGAGAUUCCAUUCCUAUACUCUACCCAGCCCAGUGGUGGCCGGACAGGUGCAGGCAGCGGCUGCAAGUGGCAGCGCUCGGGAUGUCAUGCAUGUAACGAUGCAGCGCUGUGGGUGGUUCGCUCUAUUGCAUGCAUGUCAAGAACAUCACAUGCAAGAAAAACAUACAUUAAGGACUUGAUCCUACUGCUAAGAAGACACUUUUUGGCUUGAGGUGAAGAGCUGAUACCUCACCAAAACAGGGAAGCAAAGAAGACACCGAGCAGUUGUCACCAAAGGAGAGAAAACAACGUGCAACCUGCUCCUAGCCUUGAAAUCUUGAACCGGCGACCGGUGGAGGAGGCUAGGAAUGCUCAGCAUAUUAGGGAACCUAAGAGAGAAGCUAUGGAUGGGGAAGGAAGCUCACCAAGUGGAGGAAAACGAAGUGUUACUGCUACUGCACCAAGCAGCAAGCUCCUUCUCUUUUCUUCUCGAUCUCCCUCACAAAUCUAUGCAUGUGCAAGCCAUUUGGAUGGAUGGAAAGCUUAGAAUCACAAGGAUCUAGUGGUGUGACAUGCAGGGCU